CAGCAGCCGCGGUAAUACGUAGGUGGCAAGCGUUGUCCGGAAUUAUUGGGCGUAAAGCGAGCGCAGGCAGUUAGAUAAGUCUGAAGUUAAGGGCUGUGGCUUAACCAUAGUACGCUUUGGAAACUGUUUAACUUGAGUGCAAGAGGGGAGAGUGGAAUUCCAUGUGUAGCGGUGAAAUGCGUAGAUAUAUGGAGGAACACCGGUGGCGAAAGCGGCUCUCUGGCUUGUAACUGACGCUGAGGCUCGAAAGCGUGGGGAGCAAACAGGAUUAGAUACCCCGGUAGUCCCUGUCUCUUAUACA
rnacentral:rRNA from 1 species